rnacentral:rRNA from 1 species
CUUUGCUGACGAGCGGCGGAAGGGUGAGUAAUGCUUGGGAAUAUGCCUUUACGUGGGGGACAACAGUUGGAAACAACUGCUAAUACCGCAUAAUGUCUUCAGACCAAAGGAGGGGACUCUUCGGAGCCUUUCGCGUAAAGAUUAACCCAAGUGGGAUUAACUAAUUGGUAAGGUAAUGGCUUACCAAGGCAACAAUCCCUAACUGGUUUGAGAGGAUGAUCAACCACACUGGGACUGAAACACGGCCCAAACUCCUACGGGAGGCAGCAGUGGGGAAUAUUGCACAAUGGGCGAAAGCCUGAUGCAACCAUGCCGCGUGUGUGAAAAAGGCCUUCGGGUUGUAAAGCACUUUCAAUCGUGAGGAAGGGGUAAUAAUUAAUACUUGCUAUCUUUGACGUUAGCGACAAAAAAAAGACCGGCUAACUCCGUGCCAGCAACCGCGGUAAUACAGAGGGUCCGAGCGUUAAUCAGAAUUACUGGGCGUAAAGCGUACGCAGGCGGAUUGUUAAACCAAAUGUGAAAUCCCCGGGCUCAACCUGGGAAUGGAAUUUGGAACUGGCAAGCUAGAGUUUUGUAGAGGGUGGUAAAAUUUC